AUGAGCUUCAGCCAGAAUUCAGCCUCUGGUAAACAUGAACACAUAAAUCUAACACAGGAUUUUCAGAGUAGUAUAUGUAAGGAAAGCUUAAUGGAUCUCUCCCUCCUUAAUAAAUGGGACAGCAUCCCUAACACUGAGGAAUCCUAUAAAUGUGAUGUAUGUGAGAAAGUUUUCCAUCAGAGCUCAGCCCUUACUAGACAUCAGAGAAUCCAUACUAGAGAGAAGCCCUACAAAUGUAAAGAAUGUGAAAAGCGUUUCAGUCAGAGCUCGAGUCUUAGUCGACAUAAAAGAAUACACACUAGAGAAAAACCUUACAAAUGUGAAGCAUCUGAUAAAUCCUGUAGUCCAAGCUCAGGCAUAAUUCAACACAAGAAAAUUCACACCAGAGCCAAAGCUUACACAUGUAGCAGUUGUGAAAGAAUCUUCAGUCAUAGUGUCCACCUUACUCAACAUCAGAAAAUUCACAAAGAGAUGCCCUGUAAGUGUACUAUAUCUGGCAGUGACUUCUGCCAUCCUUCAUAUCUGCUUGAACAUCAGAGGGUCCACCAUGAAGAGAAAUCCUAUGAAUAUGAUGAAUAUGGGUUGGCCUAUAUUAAACAAGGAAUUCAUUUCAGAGAAAAGCCCUAUACAUGUAAUGAAUGUAGAAAAGACUUCAGAUUGAAUUCACAUCUUAUUCAGCAUCAAAAAAUUCACACAGGAAUGAAACUGCAUGAGUGUAAUGAAUAUGGAAAAGCUUUCAGUCAAACCUCAUGCCUUAUUCACCAUCAAAUAAUGUAUAGGAAAGAGAAAUCAUAUAAAUGUAACGAGUAUGAGGGCAGUUUCAGUCAUAGCUCAGACCUUAUCCUGCAACAAGAUGUCCUCACCAGACAGAAAGUCUUUGAUUGUGAUGUACGGAAAAAGAACUCCAGUCAGAGAGCACACCUGGUUCAAUAUCGGAGCAUUCAUACCAAAGAGAACUCAUGA
rnacentral:lncRNA from 1 species